AUCUGCCCUGAGUCCCCUUCGGGGUGAGAAGGGCGGAAUAUAAAUACUGUAAAUAAAUAAAUAAAUAAAUAAAAUCUCAAAUGCAUCUCAUCACAAACCUGUAGAGGUUCAUCACUAAUAGAGGAAUGACAGUUAACAUUGCUUACUUAUUCCGCUAUUUUGCCCGAGCUUUGUCCUAAGGCUGCAGGUCUGCUGCUGAGUUGUUUGGCAAAUUGAAUGGCGCUGUAGUUCCAACAAAUCUCUAAAUGAAAUAAAAAGGAAGAAUAAUUGAGGAGUGAUCACUUUAAAAUAGUAGAGUGGCAGAAACCCUGUUGUUUCAAACUGUUUGUAUCUUUCAUUGUGCCAGCAGAUUACCUCAUUACUGUGUGUCAAUCAGAUACCAGAGGGAGAGAAAUAGAGGAAAUAAAAUGCUAGAAGGCAGAGGUACACAGCUAGGGUAAAAUACUAUCAGAGGGAAUUGUAAACAUGCAAAUGAUUGGGUUGUGAGAGAUGCAGCUGUGUUACUGCUAUCAUAUUUCUUUCAAAAAGAAGGAAACAUGAAAUAAGACUCAGCCUCUUAUGUAUAUAAACAGUUUGAGACUUUAGGAAUAUAUAACAGGAGAGAAAACCACCCAAAAUCAUCAGCCACCCCACUCCACUGUUGGAUGUCUUCUGUCAGCAGAAGGGCAUUGAUUGCACUUAACAAAAAUGCCAGGUAUCCUCAUUCAUUGAUCUAUGUCUAUCCCUAGAGAUAGAUUUAGCCAAUUCUGAAAAACAUCAUCUUCUAAAUAUGCGUGCCUCCACAUUCCUCUUUACUGCAGGUGUUAGUUGCAUUAUUUCA
rnacentral:lncRNA from 11 species